AUACGGAGGAUGCGAGCGUUAUCCGGAUUUAUUGGGUUUAAAGGGAGCGUAGGCGGGAGCUUAAGACAGCGGUUAAAUGGUGCGGCUCAACCGUGCCCUGCCGUUGAAACUGGGUUUCUUGGGAGUGCAAGAGGCGGAUGGAAUUCAAGGUGUAGCGGUGAAAUGCUUAGAUAUCAUGAAGAACUCCGAUUGCGAAGGCAGUCCGCUGGGGCACGUCUGACGCUGAUGCUCGAAGGUGCGGGAAUCAAACAGGAUUAGAUACCCUGGUAGUCCGCACGGUAAACGAUGAUUACCCGCUGUCGGCGGCAGACAGUCGGCGGCCAAGCGAAAGCGAUAAGUAAUCCACCUGGGGAGUACGCCGGCAACGGUGAAACUCAAAUGAAUUGACGGGG
rnacentral:rRNA from 1 species